ACCCGCUGAACUUAAGCAUAUCAAUAGGCGGAGGAAAAGAAACUAACAAGGAUUCCCCCAGUAACUGCGAGUGAAGAGGGAAGAGCYCRUCAUUGGAAUCUGGCAGCUUUAUGCUGUCCGAGUUGUAGAUGAGAAGAGUAGGCCAUCUGGACYGCUGGACAUCCAAGUACAAUAGGCCGUCAGUGGGACAUCGCAGAGGGUGACAAUCCCGUCUUUGAUGUCCAAGUUCGAGUCCUAUACGAUGCCUAUCUCUAGAGAGUAGAGCAGUUUGGGAUUUGCUGCUUCAACAUGGGAGGUAGACUCCUUCCAAGGCUAAAUAUUGGCGAGAGACCGAUAGUGAACAAGUACCGUAAGGGAAAGAUGAAACAGUACUCUGUAAAGGGAGUCAAAAAGUCGUGAAAUUGUUGCGAGAGAACCGAUUCAAGUCAGCCUCAAGCUAGAGCCCCUCUUAGGGCCAUAGCCAAUAAUGCUUCUUGGACUAGCUUUGCCAGCGGUCUCGUCUUUUCUUAUUGACUGGACUUGGCUUCAUGCGCGAGCACCAACAAAGCCCAAGUCAACCCCUGCGUUUGCUUGACCGUUGUUGAUGAUCACCGAGUGGGAACGCGCUGCUGGCAGAAUGGCUUGCAAUCGACCCGUCUUGAAACACGGACCAAGGAGUCUAACAUGUAUGCGAGUAUAAGGGUGACAAAACCCGUAUGCGCAAUGAAAGUGACUAUCGUUUGCAUGGUUGUUGUGCGCCUGACGACUGGUACGAAAUCAGCUGCUCCUCAGACGGCCACUGCCCAGGUUCUAUGGUAUGAUCCCAUGAACAUGGAGACGGAGCAUACAUGCUAGGACCCGAAAGAUGGUGAACUAUGCCUGGACAGAGUGAAGCCAAGGGAAACCCUGGUGGAGGCUCGUAGCGAUUCUGACGUGCAAAUCGAUCGUCUGAUCUGGGUAUAGGGGCGAAAGACUAAUCGAACCAUCUCAUAGCUGGUUCCUGCCGAAGUUUCCCUCAGGA
rnacentral:rRNA from 1 species